AUCCUUUUGUAUUAAUGUAUGCACGACGAUUGGGUUUUUACUAUCGCAUGUGAGAUGUGUCUCCUUCAAGCUUGAUCAUGUCAGCAUGUGAUCAGUCUGACU